ACGUCAGUAGUGCAACGGGUUAGAGCAUGCGCUCCUGGACAGAGUGAGGUGCGGGUUCUAAUCCCUCCUGAUGCG